rnacentral:rRNA from 1 species
AACUAACAUUGGCGGCAGGCCUAACACAUGCAAGUCGAGCGAGGUUUAGAACCGAGCGGCGAACGGGUGCGUAAUACUUGGAAAUCUGCCUUGAAGUGGGGAUAACUAGCAGAAAUGCUGGAUAAUACCGCAUAAUCCCGCAAGGGCAAAGCGCGCAGCGCUUCAAGAUGAGUCCAAGCCUGAUUAGCUAGUUGGUGGAGUAAAAGCCUACCAAGGCUACGAUCAGUAGCUGGUUUGAGAGAAUGACCAGCCACACUGGAACUGAGACACGGUCCAGACUCCUACGGGAGGCAGCAGUGGGGAAUCUUGCACAAUGGGGGCAACCCUGAUGCAGCCAUGCCGCGUGAACGAUGACGGUCUUCGGAUUGUAAAGUUCUUUUGGCGGGGACGACGAUGACGGUACCCGCAGAAUAAGUCACGGCUAACUUCGUGCCAGCCGCCGCCGUAA